UGCAACCCACACAUGUUUGGUAGACUGCCUCUUCCUCCUAUCCAGGCUCUUCUCGUGCAGAACCUCCUCUCGGGCCUGGCUCCAAAUUAAAGAACCCCCGAUUUAGCACGAAAUUCUUAGGGUUACCUCCCCCCGUUCCCACCAAUCAUCGUUUAUAUAUCUUCCUUCCCGCAUCCUUCCUCUCUUUUUCUUCUUGUCGCUCCCCAUAUGUGUCGCCGGUGAAGUGGAUCUGACGCUUCUACAUUCAAGGACACCAGAUUUGCUUUCUUGGCUGUUAUUGUGAUCUAUCCUCCCUCACCUACCGUUGGGCUUUGGCUGGUGGUCCUCCUUGUUGACGAGUGUAUUGGGGGUCAUUGAUGGGACUCAUGUCUUUGCUAAAGUUCCAACCAAUUUGCAAGCUGCAUUUAGGGGUAGAAAGAAUGCCCCCACUCAAAAUGUGCUAGCUGCAGUUAACUUUGACUUGAAAUUUAUCUAUAUCCUUGCUAGUUGGGAGGGAUCAGCACAUGAUGCCACAAUUCUUGUUGAUGCAUUGCAGAGGCAUAAUGGGUUAAGGGUUACACCAGGGAAGUUCUACUUAGUAGAUGCUGGAUAUGCUGUAAGGCCUGGAUUUCUCCCUCCUUAUCGAGGCACUAGGUGUUGACUUGUGCUGCUAAUGGAGGUCAUGUCGGUGGGCACGACAUAAAUUGUCCAUCUCUUCUACCUUAGAAGCUUCACCUAAGUUGCUUCCGCUACUCUAUACAUCUUUUGGGAACUUAGUUAAGUUUAUAUUUCAUCAUAUUUUGUAAAUUAAGUUAUAAAUCUUUCGUACUCCGAUGUAAGCUAUUUUUGUAACAAAUGUUGUAAUGUUGUGGUAACUCCAUGUUGAUUC